rnacentral:rRNA from 1 species
GAUGAACGCUAGCGACAGGCUUAACACAUGCAAGUCGAGGGGCAGCGGGGCGGUCAGCUUGCUGAUUGCCGCCGGCGACCGGCGCACGGGUGAGUAACACGUAUGCAACCUGCCCGCCACAGGGGGAUAACCGGGAGAAACUCCCGACUAAUACCGCGUAGUCCGCGGAGGGCACUCCCCGUCCGGACGGGGAAAGGAGCGAGUCCGGGUGGCCGGAGUGGGCAGUGGCGGCGCAUUAGCUAGUUGGCGGGCAACGGCCCACCAAGGCGACGAUGCGUAGGGGUUCUGAGAGGAACGGUCCCCCCACAUUGGUACUGAGACACGGACCAAACUCCUACGGGA